GGGCGCAUGGUGUAGUUGGUUAUCACAUCCGCUUAGCAUUUCUGCAUUUGCGGGGGGUGCUGGGUUCAAUUCCCAGUGCGUCCA
rnacentral:tRNA from 1 species